GGCGGUCUUCGGUAGUGGCAGCCGGGCGCUCCGGAUCUGGGGCUUCUCGGCCGCUUCGAUCGAUGGCCGUA
rfam:Mycobacterium triplex DSM 44626 genomic scaffold, SCAFFOLD00001